rnacentral:rRNA from 1 species
CCUACGGGAGGCAGCAGUGAGGAAUAUUGGUCAAUGGACGAGAGUCUGAACCAGCCAAGCAGCGUGAAGGAUGACUGCCCUAUGGGUUGUAAACUUCUUUUAUAAAGGAAUAAAACGAGGCCCGUGUGCCCUUCUGCAUGUACUUUAUGAAUAAGGAUCGGCUAACUCCGUGCCAGCAGCCGCGGUAAUACGGAGGAUCCGAGCGUUAUCCGGAUUUAUUGGGUUUAAAGGGAGCGUAGAUGGGUUGUUAAGUCAGUUGUGAAAGUUUGCGGCUCAACCGUAGAAGUGCAAUUGAUACUGGCAGUCUUGAGUACAGUUGAGGUAGGCGGAAUGCGUGGUGUAGCGGUGAAAUGCAUAGAUAUCACGAAGAACUCCGAUUGCGAAGGCAGCUUACUAACCUGCCACUGACGUUGAUGCUCGAAAGUGUGGGUAUCAAACAGGAUUAGAUACCCUAGUAGUC